UACGUGAGGGUGCAAGCGUUAAUCGGAAUUACGUGGGCGUAAAGCGUGUCGCAGGCGGUUCUAUAAGACAGAUGUGAAAUCCCCGGGCUCAACCUGGGAACUGCAUUUGUGACUGUAGAGCUGGAGUACGGUAGGAGGGGGAUGGAAUUCCGCGUGUAGCAAGUGAAAUGCGUAGAUAUGCGGAGGAACACCCGUGGCGAAGGCGGCUCCCUGGUCCGUCCCUGACGCUGAGACGCGAAAGCGCGGGGAGCGAACGGG
rnacentral:rRNA from 1 species